rnacentral:rRNA from 1 species
AGUGAACGCUGGCGGUAGGCCUAACACAUGCAAGUCGAACGGCAGCACAGGAGAGCUUGCUCUCUGGGUGGCGAGUGGCGGACGGGUGAGGAAUACAUCGGAAUCUACUCUGUCGUGGGGGAUAACGUAGGGAAACUUCCGCUAAUACCGCAUACCACCUACGGGUGAAAGCAGGGGACCUUCGGGCCCGGCGGGAUUGAAUGAGCCGAUGUCGGAUUAGCUAGUUGGCGGGGUAAAGGCCCACCAAGGCGACGAUCCGUAGCUGGUCUGAGGGGAUGAUCAGCCACACUGGAACUGAGACACAGUCCAGACUCCUACGGGAGGCAGCAGUGGGGAAUAUUGGACAAUGGGCGCAAGCCUGAUCCAGCCAUACCGCGUGGGUGAAGAAGGCCUUCGGGUUGUAAAGCCCUUUUGUUGGGAAAGAAAUCCAGCUGGCUAAUACCCGGUUGGGAUGACGGUACCCAAAGAAUAAGCACCGGCUAACUUCGUGCCAGCAGCCGCAGUAA